UGGGGAAUAUUGGACAAUGGGCGCAAGCCUGAUCCAGCCAUGCCGCGUGAGUGACGAAGGCCUUAGGGUUGUAAAGCUCUUUUGGCGGGGACGAUAAUGACGGUACCCGCAGAAUAAGCCCCGGCUAACUUCGUGCCAGCAGCCGCGGUAAUACGAAGGGGGCUAGCGUUGUUCGGAAUUACUGGGCGUAAAGCGCACGUAGGCGGAUGUGCCAGUCAGGGGUGAAAUCCCGAGGCUCAACCUCGGAACUGCCUCCGAUACAGCACGUCUCGAGUCCGGAAGAGGUGAGUGGAAUUCCUAGUGUAGCGGUGAAAUGCGCAGAUAUCAGGAGGAACACCAGCGGCGAAGGCGGCGCUCUGGGCUGGAACUGACGCUGAGGAGCGAAAGCGUGGGGAGCGAACAGGAUUAGAUACCCCAGUAGUCCCUGAGCGGGCUGGCAAGGCGCAU
rnacentral:rRNA from 1 species